GACGAACGCUGGCGGCGUGCUUAACACAUGCAAGUCGAACGGGGCUCAUCGCUUCGGUGGUGGGUCUAGUGGCGAACGGGUGAGUAACACGUGGGCAACCUGCCCCCGGCUCUGGGAUAACUCCAAGAAAUUGAGGCUAAUACCGGAUGUGACCGCUGGCCGCAUGGUCUGGUGGUGGAAAGGGUUUCCGGCUGGGGAUGGGCCCGCGGCCUAUCAGCUUGUUGGUGGGGUAGUGGCCUACCAAGGCGACGACGGGUAGCCGGCCUGAGAGGGUGACCGGCCACACUGGGACUGAGACACGGCCCAGACUCCGACGGGAGGCAGCAGUGGGGAAUAGUGCGCAAGGGGCGGAGGCCUGGCGCAGCGACGCCGCGUGGGGGAUGACGGCCUUCGGGUUGUAAACCUCUUUCAGCGGGGACGAAGCCGCGAGGUGACGGUACCUGCAGAAGAAGCACCGGCCAACUACGUGCCAGCAGCCGCCGUAA
rnacentral:rRNA from 1 species